rnacentral:rRNA from 1 species
GAUGAACGCUGACAGAAUGCUUAACACAUGCAAGUCUACUUGAACUUCGGUUUGGGUGGCGGACGGGUGAGUAACGCGUAAAGAACUUGCCUCACAGAUAGGGACAACAUUUGGAAACGAAUGCUAAUACCUGAUAUUAUGAUUUUAAGGCAUCCUAGAAUUAUGAAAGCUAUAUGCACUGUGAGAGAGCUUUGCGUCCCAUUAGCUAGUUGGAGAGGUAACGGCUCACCAAGGCGAUGAUGGGUAGCCGGCCUGAGAGGGUGAUCGGCCACAAGGGGACUGAGACACGGCCCUUACUCCUACGGGAGGCAGCAGUGGGGAAUAUUGGACAAUGGACCAAGAGUCUGAUCCAGCAAUUCUGUGUGCACGAUGAAGUUUUUCGGAAUGUAAAGUGCUUUCAGUUGGGAAGAAAAAAAUGACGGUACCAACAGAAGAAGUGACGGCUAAAUACGU